AUUCAGCUGAUGAGCCUCAAUUAGGACGAAACGCGCUUCCUGGAU
rnacentral:hammerhead_ribozyme from 1 species